rnacentral:rRNA from 1 species
UACGGAGGGUGCAAGCGUUGUUCGGAAUUACUGGGCUUAAAGCGCGUGCAGGCGGAAUAUCAGGUGUCUUGUGAAAUCCCCGGGCUCAACCCGGGAAACUGCUGGGCAAACCGGUAUUCUUGAGGCAAGUAGAGGUGACUGGAACAACUGGUGGAGCGGUGAAAUGCGUAGAUAUCAGUUGGAACGCCGGAGCGAAAGCGGGUCACUGGGCUUGUUCUGACGCUCAGACGCGAAAGCGUGGGUAGCAAACAGGAUUAGAUACCCUGGUAGUCCACGCCGUAAACGAUGCGCACUAGGUAUGARAGGUUCUGACGCCGAUCGUGCCGAAGCAAAAGUGGUAAGUGCGCCGCCUGGGGAGUACGGCCGCAAGGYUAAAACUCAAAGGAAUUGACGGGGGCUCACACAAGCGGKGGAGGAUGUGGAUUAAUUCGAAGCAACGCGAARAACCUUACCUGGGUUUGCAUACUUGGAUGCUCUCCUGGAAACAGGAGUAGGCUGCCUUCGGGUGAAACUUGAACAGGUGCUGCAUGGCUGUCGUCAGCUCGUGCUGUGAAGUGUCGGGUUAAGUCCCUUAACGAGCGAAACCCCUAUCGUUAGUUGCCAGCGGGUAAUGCCGGGGACUCUAGCGAGACCGCCGGUGUCAAACCGGAGGAAGGUGGGGACGACGUCAAGUCAUCAUGGCCCUUAUGCCCAGGGAUUCUCACGUCCUACAAUGGUCGGUACAGAGCGAUGCGAGACCGCGAGGUGGAGCAAAUCGCACAAAGCCGGCCCCAGUUCGGAUUGAAGUCUGCAACUCGACUUCAUGAAGGUGGAAUCGCUAGUAAUCGCGGAUCAGCUACGCCGCGGUGAAUGUGUUCCUGAGCCU